rnacentral:rRNA from 1 species
UACGUAGGGUGCAAGCGUUGUCCGGAAUUACUGGGCGUAAAGAGUUCGUAGGCGGUUUGGCGCGUCGUUUGUGAAAACCAGCAGCUCAACUGCUGGCUUGCAGGCGAUACGGGAAGACUUGAGUACUGCAGGGGAGACUGGAAUUCCUGGUGUAGCGGUGAAAUGCGCAGAUAUCAGGAGGAACACCGGUGGCGAAGGCAGGUCUCUGGGCCGAUACUGACGCUGAGGAGCGAAAGCGUGGGGAGCGAACAGG